CGCGUAGGCGGUUCGGUAAGUAGGGGUGAAAUUCCGCGGCUCAACCGCGGGACUGCCUUCUAGACUGCCGGACUUGAGCACGGUAGAGGCAGAUGGAAUUCCCGGUGUAGCGGUGGAAUGCGUAGAGAUCGGGAAGAACACCAGUGGCGAAGGCGGUCUGCUGGGCCGUUGCUGACGCUGAGGCGCGACAGCGUGGGGAGCAAACA
rnacentral:rRNA from 1 species